GAUGAAGAACGUAGCGAAAUGCGAUAAGUAAUGUGAAUUGCAGAAUUCAGUGAAUCAUCGAAUCUUUGAACGCACAUUGCGCCCCUUGGUAUUCCGGGGGGCAUGCCUGUUCGAGCGUCAUUUCACCACUCAAGCCUCGCUUGGUAUUGGGCAACGCGGUCCGCCGCGUGCCUCAAAUCGACCGGCUGGGUCUUCUGUCCCCUAAGCGUUGUGGAAACUAUUCGCUAAAGGGUGUUCGGGAGGCUACGCCGUAAAACAACCCCAUUUCUAAGGUUGACCUCGGAUCAGGUAGGGAUACCCGCUGAACUUAAGCAUAUCAAUAAGCGGAGGA
rnacentral:misc_RNA from 1 species